rnacentral:rRNA from 1 species
GAUAGGACUUGCUCCUUGAGCGGCCGACAGCCUCAGAAACCAGGCCCCUGCAACUGUUUAUUAAAAACAUAGCACUCUGCAAACACGAAAGUGGACGUAUAGGGUGUGAUGCCUGCCCGGUGCUGGAAGGUUAAUUGAUGGGGUUAGCGUAAGCGAAGCUCUUGAUCGAAGCCCCAGUAAACGGCGGCCGUAACAAUAACGGUCCUAAGGUAGCGAAAUUCCUUGUCGGGUAAGUUCCGACCUGCACGAAUGGCAUAAUGAUGGGGGCGCUGUCUCCAGCAGAGACUCAGUGAAAUCGAAAUCGCCGUGAAGAUGCGGUGUACCCGCGGCUAGACGGAAAGACCCCGUGAACCUUUACUGCAGCUUGACAUUGAACUUUGAUCUUACUUGUGUAGGAUAGGUGGGAGGCUUUGAAGUCGCGACGCUAGUUGCGAUGGAGCCGUCCUUGAAAUACCACCCUGGUAAUAUUGAGGUUCUAACUCUGUCCCGUUAUCCGGGACGAGGACCAUGUCUGGUGGGUAGUUUGACUGGGGCGGUCUCCUCCUAAAGAGUAACGGAGGAGUACGAAGGUGCGCUCAGCGUGGUCGGAAAUCACGCGUAGAGUAUAAAGGCAAAAGCGCGCUUAACUGCGAGACCAACAAGUCGAGCAGGUACGAAAGUAGGUCUUAGUGAUCCGGUGGUUCUGUAUGGAAGGGCCAUCGCUCAACGGAUAAAAGGUACUCUGGGGAUAACAGGCUGAUACCGCCCAAGAGUUCAUAUCGACGGCGGUGUUUGGCACCUCGAUGUCGGCUCAUCUCAUCCUGGGGCUGAAGCAGGUCCCAAGGGUAUGGCUGUUCGCCAUUUAAAGAGGUACGCGAGCUGGGUUUAGAACGUCGUGAGACAGUUCGGUCCCUAUCUACCGUGGGCGCUGGAAAUUUGAGAGGAUCUGCUCCUAGUACGAGAGGACCAGAGUGGACGAACCUCUGGUGUACCGGUUGUGACGCCAGUCGCAUCGCCGGGUAGCUAUGUUCGGAAGGGAUAACCGCUGAAAGCAUCUAAGCGGGAAGCCCACCUUAAGAUUAGAUUUCCCCGAGACUUUAUGUCUCCUAAAGAGCCGUUGAAGACUACGACGUUGAUAGGUUGGAUGUGGAAGCAUAGUGAUAUGUGAAGCUGACCAAUACUAAUUGCUCGUGAGGCUUGACUGA